rnacentral:lncRNA from 1 species
AAUAAAAUUGAGAAUGGAAAUGGGGAAUGUGCCAAAGAGACAACAACCCGACCAUAGAAAAAAACAACAGCAGAAGGUAACCAACAGGUCUUCAAUGUAGCGAGAAAUUCCCGCACCCGGAGGCGUCCUUCAGCUUGCCCCUAAACAAAUAUAUACUAGUUCAGUGAUAAUGAACGCCAUACUAAUUUCCAAAUUGUACACAAGAAACUAAAAUUAAAAUAAUACAAGACUAACAAAGGCCAGAAGCUCCUGACUUGGGACAGGCGCAAAAAUGCGGCGGGGUUAAACAUGUUUCUGAGAUCUCAACCCUCCCCCUAUACCUCUAGCCAAUGUAGAAAAGUAAACGCAUAACAAUACGCACAUUAAAAUGCAGUUCAAGAGAAGUCCGAGUCUGAUGUCAGAAGAUGUAACCAAAGAAAAUAAACAAAAUGACAAUAAUACAUAAUUA